GACACUGGUUCGGUUCCUCGG
rnacentral:siRNA from 1 species